rnacentral:lncRNA from 1 species
GAAUAACAGAAUAGAGAGAGAGAAUCAGAACAGUAGAGAGAAAAAAUCAUCUUCUCGGCGAUCGGAGAAUGCUGCGAUCAAGUCUGCUUUGCUCGGGGUCUUCGCCGGCGGUUUGUGGCAAAGGCGUAUGGUUCUCGAUCGGCGAUAAAGACCUUUCUAUUCUUCUCCAAAAGCUUACCCUGCAAAUAGCUGUAGAAAGAUUCAGCUAUAAGUUCACUUGUAUCAAAAGACCUUGGUAUAGUGGAAUUGCAUGGUAGUUUAGUUCUACCCCCAGAUGUACCGUAAGGUAACUGGGUUAACAAAAGUGUGUGUGAUUCUCGUUUAGAUCUCUUAAAUCCGC